GCGAUAACGCCUGCAUCAGGUGCCCGCCUUGCGGCGGGAGAAUCGGGAACGCGGUGAAAUUCCGCGACGUGCCCAACGCUGUAAGGUGGACGCGUGUUGCCAUAGGCCACUGAGAGAUCGGGAAGGCGGCAACAUGCGAGCGAAGCCAAGUCAGAAGACCGGCCUGAUGCAAUGGACCGAC
rnacentral:ncRNA from 2 species